rnacentral:lncRNA from 1 species
CAUCUGUGUCCCGGAGUCCCAGGCCCUUUUCGAUGGCGGCAGUGGCCGGGGGUCCCCUGUAAGCAGGGAAGCUGACUCUUUGGCUGCUGCUUUUUGUGUGCCCAGCCCCAUUUGCCCAGUCUGCCCGCCUCUGUGAUCCCCCGCAGCACUGGCUGGAAGUCCGCCGCGUGUCAGUGAGGAGCUGCUGCAGAAGGAAGAAGAAGAAGCAGCGUGGGGACCUGGGAGGCAGGAGCAAGCAAGAAGAGGAAGCGGAAGCGUGCAGAUGCGGGGGGGAAGGAGAGAGGCUCCCUGGGCAAAGCACCUGUCCCGUUAGCAGGGGCACAGUCACGUUUGAGUUGAGAGCUGCCGGCGCCUUUGGUGACCAGGCUGGCGUUGUGCUGGCGACCUCCCCGUAAGCGGGGCUCGGGUCUUUGCUGUAGUUGGCCUUUUGCCUUGCUGCUCCUUUGGCUGCCUGGGGAGCGUGGCCCCCUGUAACGGAGGGCGAGAGCCACCUCUCCGCACCUGAGUGGGAAAUGGAGCUCGCCGGACCCCAAGGCCACCCUGUAAGCAGGGUAGUGCCGUUUCCCUGCCCCUCUUCCUCCCCCGGCCCCUCGGCAUCGUUGCCUGAUGGUGGCUUGUCAAUGCGACGGCCCCGUACUCGGGGUGUGUGUCCCAAGCUUCGGAGCCCUCUGUCCCUGAGCAGCCCGCCCGCCCUGUAAUCAGGUGUGGGGAGGCUGCAGCGUUGCAGCCGGCUGCUUUAGCCAUCCAGCUGGUGGGAGUGACCCCUCCCUGUCCCGUCAGAGGGUGCAGGUUGAGGUGCUGUUUGUGUGUGGGGUGACCUCCCCGCUCGGUGGGUCGAGGUAGCUCCCUGGGCUUCCAAAGACGAGACGUUGGUGAUGUUCUGGUGCUGCCGGGCGGGCCAGCCUGUAACUCAGGCGUUGGCGGGAGCCUCGUGCUCCGCGGGGCUUCUUGAAGAGGGUGAGGUGUGGGGGUACCGUCCUGUAGGCAGGGCUGUGUGUGCCCCCCGUGUGUGCUUGGUGAGCUGCGUUCUGAGAGACCCCCUGUACUCAGGUGGGAAUGUGGCCCCGGCCUUUCAGAGGCGCGGGGCCGUGAGAUGCGGGGUGGGGCUUGCGCCCUCCCUGGAAUCGGGGCUGGGAUCCCGACUGCGGCCUUUGGCCGUGCCGCCCCGCUGCCUGGCUGCUGAGAGUUGCUCCUGCCGCUGGGGGGGAAACCGAGCUCUGUGGCUCCAGGGGUGUUGUCCACCCGCCUGUAAUCAGGGUCUGGGUGCGUGAGCGUUUGUGCUCUGCUGGCAGCCUGUGUGGGGUGACCGCCCCGCUAGCGGGGUGUGGGUCGAGGUGCCCCGGACUGGGAGAGAAGGAGCCUCCCUCGGCCGUAGGGAUGGGGGCUGCCCUGUAAGUCAGGGAGCAUCUGUGUCCCGGAGUCCCAGGCCCUUUUCGAUGGCGGCAGUGGCCGGGGGUCCCCUGUAAGCAGGGAAGCUGACUCUUUGGCUGCUGCUUUUUGUGUGCCCAGCCCCAUUUGCCCAGUCUGCCCGCCUCUGUGAUCCCCCGCAGCACUGGC